UACGUAGGGUGCAAGCGUUGUCCGGAAUUAUUGGGCGUAAAGAGCUCGUAGGCGGUUUGUCGCGUCGAAUGUGAAAACCCGGGGCUCAACCCCGGGCCUGCAUUCGAUACGGGCAGACUAGAGUUCGGUAGGGGGAGUCUGGAAUUCCUGGUGUAGCGGUGAAAUGCGCAGAUAUCAGGAGGAACACCGGUGGCGAAGGCGGGACUCUGGGCCGAUACUGACGCUGAGGAGCGAAAGCGUGGGGAGCAAACAGGA
rnacentral:rRNA from 1 species